rnacentral:RNase_P_RNA from 1 species
ACCCGGCGGGGGUGACCCCAGGGAAAGUGCCACAGAAAGCAAACCGCCUGUUCCUUCCUUUCGGGGAAGAAACCGGCAAGGGUGAAAGGGUGCGGUAAGAGCGCACCGCGCGCGCCGGCAACGGCCGCGGCACGGCAAACCCCACCGGGAGCAAGCCCGAAUAGGGACGGCAGGCUACGCCAGCGCGUUUCCGCGUUGCCGUCCGGGUAGGGCGCAAGAGACGUCCGGUAACGGACGUCCCAGAUGAAUGGCUAUCCCCCUUUCAAGGGGACAGAACCCGGCUUACAGGCCGUCUGGCAUU